UGUAGGAAUGAAAUCCAUUAAAAGUGAAGAGAACUCCCAAAGGAAUUUCAAGAGAGACAGUGAAAGCUAUUUUAAGAAAACUCAAGGCACCUGCAAAAACUGGUUGUUUUAAAGAUGAACUGCAAAAAUUCAGGUCUUGUGUUCCAGGGACAACAGGUCAGACUCUGUGGGCAAUUGCAGAAUUAGUGGGCUAAUGACAUCAGAAGCACCAGCGGAAUGAAACCUGAGCAACUGAGGCCUUGUCUUCACUACCAUGCUACAUUGGCACCACUGCAGCGUGUCCUGAGUGAUGAAGAUGCAGUUGUCUCCCAAAGAUUCAGCUCAUCCAAUCCUGACACGUAUGGCCAGUUUCUUAGUUCUGCUUCCAGGGAUGGGAAGGAUACUGAAAGCUGGCUUCAUGUCACCCACUCACCUCAUCUCUUCAGAGGGAGAGCGUGGGAUUGGAGCUCUGGAUGCACCAAGGAAAAUGGUUCCAUCCACUGCCUGAAUAACCCAAAAUGAAAACAUCCUUAGGCUGCAAGAGACUAGGACAAGCUCUAACUGAAAUUUAUAAACUUACAUAAUAUAUUUAUAAAAAGGAGUCCAAUUGUCAAAGGCCGUGACAGAGCUGGGACAUUGGAAUGUUUGUUCUCCCUACAGAGAAAAAUGAAUGAUGUAAGUUUAAAUAUUCCAAUUACUUUGCCCAUUCUAGUCUUUUGAUGUGCCUAAUGACUGUUUUAUUUGAAGUUAUUUAUGAUUUUCAGUUAAAAGUGUUUCCAGCAAGGUUUCUGCAACUUUGUGUUUCUACACAGAUUUUCAGCUCAAUGCCUAAUAUCACUGUACUGUACUUCUG